UUUAAUUCAUUUAAUCUUUUGUUAUGACGGAUUAGAGCACCAAUCAACCUAUUUAUUCACCCUCAAAUCUUUCUACAUUAUUUCUGGUGAGAAUAUGAGUUUCAAUUAAAUUAGUCAAAGAGAGAGCAGAGUUUGAGACUGAUAAAAAGCAAAACGAACAAGAGAAUUGUUGGGGCUCAUAAAUGUUCUAGAAGAGAAGCCUCCUAAACUGGCAGCGUCUUGCGUUGGGAUUUUUGAAAAUCAUUCAGGAUAAGGUCGAGCUGUGAGCAAGCCGAAACGGCAGAGGCCAACGCAAUGCCAACUCCGCUCUUCUUUAUUAACCCACUGCAUUGCUACUACAAUUCAAUGCAACGUCAUUCCUUUGAACUGAUUUGCGGUUCCUCUCUCUCUCUCUCCCUUUUUAUCUUUUGGAUUUGGUUCAAAUUUUGUCUGAUUAUUUCUUUCAGCAUCUUCAGAGGAUAAAAGGCUGAAUGCCUACGGCACUAUAAUUCCAACAACACAAUCAAUAAGCAUUCUAAAAGAUGGGCGUUUGCAUAUGAGGUGGCUUGACAUCUUGCUUUUCUUUUGUUUAAUGUGAAUAGGGUUGGUAUUUAUUGGUACACAUAUAUGCGUUUAAAAAUUAAAUUUAUUAUUUAUUUAUUAAAUAAAUAAAUUACUAUAUCAAUUAUUGAUUAUAUAUAUUAUACUUUAAUAAGUAUUUUAUUUAUUUAUGAUAUAUAUUUUAUUAGGUUGAAAUAUUGUCGUUUGGUACUUGGGGAAAAAAUCCAUUUAGGAGCCGAAUUUCUAACUCAAUCAGAAUAAAACAGAUCAAUUCAGGAACAACUAGAGAAAUGGGUUGGCAAACACUAAUCUUCUUAUGUACGAGUAAAAUCAAACCAGAUCAAUUAUCUGUUAAAUGAAAUACGAUUUGAAUAAAACGGUUUAAUUUAAUUGGUCAUAAAUGUUUGGUUUAAUUGAUUUUUUAUUGGUUCUCAGUUUUAAAAUUUUUAGACCAAUCCACUCAAAAAAUCAAACUAAUUUUUAAUAUAUAUUAAUAUAUAUAAUAUUUUUAAUAUAUAUUAAGAAGAAUUGAUAGUAAAUUUAAUUAACAAUAUACUUAAAAUAUAUAAUUUAUUAUAUGCAUGUAAACAAAUCAUAAUCAUAACAAUUUAAUUUUAAUUAUAUAUAUUUAUUUAUUAAUAAAUCUGUAUUAAUAUAAAAUUACAAGUUAUAUAUUUUAAACGAUAUAAUAUAUAUGUUAAUUUUAUAAAAUAUGAUAGUAAAUAUCUUACAUAUUAAUAUGUUAUAAUUAUUACAUAUUAGUAAUGUUUCAUAUAAAAUGUUAUGAAUAUAUAUAUAUAUAUAAUUGUAUAAAUUUAUAUAUAUUUAAUUUAUAUAUCAGCAUUACUAUAACUUAUAAUAAACUUUAUUUAUAUGAUUACACUUAAUAACUUUAUUAAUUAUUACUUUAGUUUUUAUAAUAUAUUAUUUAUAAUUAAUAAUUAUUUAUACAAAUUUUGAUAUAAAACAUUAUAAUAUAUAAAUUGUGUCAUUAAUUUCAUAUGUACAUAAUAAAAUAAUAUAUUAUCUAUAUACAUAUAUUUAAUUUAAAUAUAAGUAUUAUUGUAACUUAUAAUAGACUUUAUUUAUAUGAUUACACUCAAUGGUUUUAGUAGUUAUUGUCUUAAUUUUUAUAACAUAUUGUUUAUUAUUAGUUAUUAUUUAUACAAUAUUUGAUAUAAAAAUUAAAAUAUUAUAACAUAUAAGUUAUGUCAUUAAUUUUGUAUAUAUAAUAAAGUAAUAUAUAUUAUAUAUACAUAUAUUUAAUUUAGAAGAACUUGUAAGAAAUAACUCCCUUUAUAAGCCCAAUUCAAAAAUAUCCUUCAUUAUAAUUUUAAUUAUUUUUAAUCAAUUUUUAGCAUGACUUGACAAGAAUGCCCUUUAAACAAUUUCAAACAAAUUAAAAUGGUUUCGAUUUUCUCUAUUCAGUCAUCCUAAUAAAAAUUUCAAAAUUAAAUCUUGAUUUCUCUCUCUUGCCAAAUACUGUCUAUCUCGUCAUCCUAAAAAGUAAAAACGAUAUCAAUGUAUGUGUUUUAGGUUCUCUGAUUUAUUGGUUCCCUAAAGUUGAGGGGUUGAAAUUAAUUAGACAUAUCUGUAAUAGAACAUUGUAUGACUUUGGUAACUUAAACCUAACUGCGAGUAAGUAAAUCAAUUAGUUAUUAGGUAUUGCAUUACCGGUUUUUAGGUAUUGCAUGACUGGUGUUUAGGCAUUGCAUGACAGGUUUUACGUAUUGCGUGACUGAUUUUUAAAUAAUAUCUACGUCACAAUGCCUAAAAACUAGUCAUGUAAGGCCUUUCUAACCAGUCACAUAAUGCCUAUCAACUAGCAGUCACGUAAUGUCAUACCAACUAAUUAUGUAAUAUCUAAAAAUCAGUUACGCAAUAUCUAAAACUUAGUAAUGUAAUGUCUAAAAACUAGUUAUGCAAUGCCUAAAAACUACUAAAAUUAUUUAAUUCUAUCUAACCAAAACAACAAUUUCAAACAAUACACUAUAUUUCAUUUAACAACAUAAUCAACAAAUAUACUUACUUGGUAAAGAAUGCUCAAAAUGCUCAAAAAUUUUUCUUCAUGUAUAAAAAUCACUGCAAAAUGCUUAAAAAUGCUCAAAGAACAAAAGUUUUUUUACGUGUAUCAAAAACUACUCCAUAAUAUUUAAAAUGCUUAAAGGUUUUUCUUUUUGGGAAAGAAUUCUCCAGAGAUGAAUGGUCUGGCGAAAAAACUCAAAGAAUAAGAAUCGGUUUGAGAUGCAAACCUAAACAUAUGGGUCAGUUUUACUAAGGUUAAUUUUAUUCAAAAUUAAUUUUUCUUGGCUAAAAACAGUUAAGAUUAUAAAAAAAAGGCUAUUUUCAAAAACAUUUUAUGUAUGAGGAGUAUUUUUUAAAAGAACCUUAUAAUUUAUACUCAAUUUGUAUAUUUUGUAAUUAUGGAUGAAAUUUAUAAAUUUUAAUAUUAUAAUUUAUAAAAAAAAAAUUAUAAAAUUUUAAUUCAUUAAUCCAAAAUCAAUCCGACUAAAUCAAUGGUAUAUUUGAUGGAUUUGAUUUUUUUAUGUUUGGUUAGUUUUAAUCAAUUUUUUUAAAAUAUUUGAUCUAUUUAAUUUUUUAGUACGACGGAUCAUAGCACCAGCCUACCUAUUUACUCACUUUUAAUACUUUCUACAUAAUUUCUGGUGAGAAUAUGAGUUUCAAUUAAAUUAGUCAAAGAGAGAGCAGAGUUUGAGAUUGAUGAAAAGCAAAACGAACAAGAGAAUCAUUGGGGCUCAUAAAUGUUCUAGAAUAGAGGCCUCCUAAACUUGAAGCGUCUUGCGUUGGGAUUUUGAAAAUCAAUCAGGAUAAGGUCGAGCUGGGAGCAAGCCGAAACGGCAGAGGCCAACGCAAUGCCAACUCCGCUCUUCUUUAUUAUCCCUUUGCAUUGCUACUACAAUUCAAUGCAACGUCAUUCCUUUGAACUGAUUUGCGGUUCCUCUCUCUCUCUCUCCCUUUUUAUCUUUUGGAUUUGGUUCAAAUUUUGUCUGAUUAUUUCUUUCAGCAUCUUCAGAGGAUAAAAGGCUGAAUGCCUACGGCACUAUAAUUCCAACAACACAAUCAAUAAGCAUUCUAAAAGAUGGGCGUUUGCAUAUGAGGUGGCUUGACAUCUUGCUUUUCUUUUGUUUAAUGUGAAUAGGGUUGGUAUAUAUUGGUACACAUAUAUGCGUUUAAAAAUUAAAUUUAUUAUUUAUUUAUUCAAU
rnacentral:lncRNA from 1 species